ACAGUUUUUGUCGAGCCUGCGACUUUUGUCGCAGAAAGCUCGACAUAGGGAUAGUGAUCCGGCGGCGGCGGCGUUAGCUAACUUCUUAAAAGCUUUAUAUUUUAGAAGGUGGAAGGUCUGGAUGCUUCAUACUUUGUAUAUGGAUGCCUCAUGUUACGAAGUUUCUGUCAGUCACAUGUCCAAUGUCCUUGACCUCAUUUUCAUGGUUCAGUGACUACUUGAAAAAAAAGUUCAGAUUUUUUGUAAUGUUAGAUUCUCUCUUAUUAUAAGUAAUAGGAUAACUCUAUUUGGUAUGUGCGUACCUUGCAAGGUCCUCAUGCCCGUCAGACAGUUUUCACUUGACCUCGACCUCAUUUCAUGGAUCAGUGAACAAGGUUAAGUUUUGGUGGUCAAGUCCAUAUCUCAGAUACUAUAAGCAAUAGGUCUAGUAUAUUCGGUGUAUGGAAGGACUGUAAGGUGUACAUGUCCAACUGGCAGGUGUCAUCUGACCUUGACCUCAUUUUCAUGGUUCAGUGGUUAUAGUUAAGUUUUUGUGUUUUGGUCUGUUUUUCCUAUACUGUAUGCCAUAGGUCUACUAUAUUUGGUGUAUGGAAUGAUUGUAAGGUGUACAUGUCUAGCGGGCAGGUGUCAUCUGACCUUGACCUCAUUUUCAUGGUUCAGUGGUUAUAGUUAAGUUUUUGUGUUUUGGUCUGUUUUUCCUAUACUGUAUGCCAUAGGUCUACUAUAUUUGGUGUAUGGAAUGAUUGUAAGGUGUACAUGUCUAGCGGGCAGGUGUCAUCUAACCUUGACCUCAUUUUCAUGGUUCAGUGGUCAAAGUUAAGUUUUUGAGUUUUGGUCUUUUUUUCUAAUACUAUAUGCAAUAGUUCAACUAUAUUUGGUAUGUGCGUACCUUGCAAGGUCCUCAUGCCCGUCAGACAGUUUUCACUUGACCUCAACCUCAUUUCAUGGAUCAGUGAACAAGGUUAAGUUUUGGUGGUCAAGUCCAUAUCUCAGAUACUAUAAGCAAUAGGUCUAGUAUAUUCGGUGUAUGGAAGGACUGUAAGGUGUACAUGUCCAACUGGCAGGUGUCAUCUGACCUUGACCUCAUUUUCAUGGUUCAGUGGUUAUAGUUAAGUUUUUGUGUUUUGGUCUGUUUUUCUUAUACUGUAUGCAAUAGGCCUACUAUAGUUGGUGUAUGGAAUGAUUGUAAGGUGUACAUGUCUAGCGGGCAGGUGUCAUCUGACCUUGACCUCAUUUUCAUGGUUCAGUGGUCAAAGUUAAUUUUUUGAGUUUUGGUCUUUUUUUCUAAUACUAUAUGCAAAAGUUCAACUAUAUUUGGUGUAUGGAAAUAUUUUAUGAUCUAUUUGUCAGUCACACAGUUUUUUUUUUUACCUUGACCUCAUUUUCAAGGUUCAUUGCUCAGUGUUAAGUUUUUGUGUUUUGGUCUGUUUUUCUUAAACUAAAAGCAAUAGAUCAACUAUAUUUGUUGUAUGGAAGAAUUGUUAGCUGUACAUGCCUGCCUAGCAUGGUUCAUCUGAC